UGAAACGCCGCGCCGCCGUAUGUAAAAUCAAUCUCCAGGUUCGAGCGCUCGUGCCGCCUCUAUUUGCCGCCGUCCACCGCCAUGCCGUCGUCCGGUCGACCGCCCCCCAAACACUUCUCCCCUGCUCCCGGCUACCGCUCUCUUGUCCUCUGCGCCGUUCACACCGCGCGGCGCGGCGCGCCAUCCCCUGUUCCUCCUGGCUGCUGCACCUUCGUAAUUUUCUUUGAUGCUUUUUCGGUUUCCCCUGACGAGCUAAUUUAAUUGGAAUAGCGUGUGUGUGUGUAUCCAAUCAGAUAUCUACGGGGUAUCUGCACCUAUCAUUUCAGGUGGAGGGAAUCAAGCACCUAAAGGGACUGGAUACAAACACAUAUAGGUCUCGCAAAGGGCUUUUACCUCAUCGAAGUGGUGUUGGUUUUCCUACUGUUGGUCAAGUUAUGGGAGGCACCAAUGAAGUAAUCAAUUGAUUUGGCACCGGCGAAGCUACGGCAUAGCACGCCGCUGGCCUCCAGCAACCGGCGCUCCGCACACAUCCCUGCCUCCCACGGCCAGAUGCUCGGACGGUCCCCCAUCACAUAGAUACACAACAGCGAGCUUCAGUUAUCUGAAUUUUCAGUUCAGUGUCGUGAUUUGGAUGGACGCCCGAACACAACAGCGAGGCCAGCUUCAGUUCUCUGAAUCUUCAGUUCCGUGUCGUGAUUUGGAUGGAAUUGGAGACCGUGUCCUUCUCCAACAUAAAUCAAUUUCCAAUGUAAUCGAGUUCGAGUCUAUGUUCUUCUCCAAUGCAAAAGCAUGUAGUGCCCGAUCCGGAUUGAACUUGGCUGUCAUAAGGAGGGAUCCUCGACCGGAACGUCCAUCAGGCCGCGUCCCUCGACCAGAAUGUCCAUCAAAUCCCAUCACAUUGCAACUUUCAGAGGAACAUCCAAUGUCGCUGGCGGAGGAAAAUCAUCUGUCAAGCCGUACUAUGCCGAGUUCGCCGGCGGAAGAAGAACACCCGUCGAGCCCUCCAUCGCCUGAGGCGGCUACACCAGAGUGAUGGGAGGUAGAUUGAGCUGAUAAAUUUCUGCACCCACCUUGAGGUCCAUAACGUUCUCAUAAUUAUAUGGAGCCCAAUUCGUAUAGAUGUAUUUGUUUGAGGGAGAGGACUAUCUGUGAUCAGAAGCAACAUUAUGUGAUCAUCAUGUGUGCGAGAGAUGGCAAGAGUAUGUGAUAUGUAUUUCUGUGUACACUACUAAUAUGUAUUGACUGUUCAUGUUGAUACAGUAGGUUCAUGAUUGCUUAUGGAAACAAUAAAAUUACUUGAGAAGGAUUUUAUGAGUAUGUAC